UUGCAAGUGGCGCUGACAGGGUCGACCGACGUCCAGCCUCAGCACCAGGUUAUCGACGUCGGAGAGGCGGCCGUGUUCAGGUGACAAUAAUUUUAGACACGUGAUUAGCUGUUGCGUGAGGAGCUCGCUGACCUGUCGAGGGUUGACCCUGAUCGGCAGAAGCAGGAAGCAGCCUUUGGGCCCUCCGAUCCGGCUCGACACGUCCUCAGACAGACACACCUCCGGUCCGGCGGCCGCCUUGGCGAGACAUUCGCGCCGCACGCGUUUUUGCUUCGCUUCUUUUGAAUUAUGUUGAAAAAACCCUGAGCGGAUGUUGAACAAUGGCGAAAACGUUGGCGUAGUGUGAAAAUGGUCGGCGGCGUUGAACAAAUCGCGAAAAGUUUCACUAGAAUCGAUCUCAGGAUGCGGUAACCUGUCAAAGGUCGUCAGUAUAUAAAUUUUUUGGCUAUUUCUUAAAAUUAUUUUUAUAAUCUGUGUUUGUAAUAUUUUAAUCGCACGCGUAAUUAAAUUUUAGAUAAUUUUCCAGUUAAAAAUGCAAGUUUGUCAUGUUUCAAGGAAGGAAAUCACAAAUUACAGCUGAAAAUCCGGUUGUUAAAUUGAUCAAUACAAAUAAAUACACGUGUAUUAAAGAAUUUAGAUAAAGGCUUCAUUAAUUACCAUCGACUCUUUCAAUGGGAACAUCGCAUAA